rnacentral:tRNA from 14 species
UUGCCCGAGUUGGUCUAAGGGGCUCGACUCAAGUUCGAGUAUAUUCGUUAUGCGGGGGUUCGAAUCCCCCAGA